GUGCCAGCCGCCGCGGUAAUACGUAGGUGGCAAGCGUUAUCCGAAAUUAUUGGGCGUAAAGCGCGCGUAGGCGGUUCUUUAAGUCUGAUGUGAGAGCCCACGGCUCAACCGUGGAGGGUCAUUGGAAACUGGAAAACUUGAGUGCAGAAGAGGAAAGUGGAAUUCCAUGUGUAGCGGUGAAAUGCGCAGAGAUAUGGAGGAACACCAGUGGCGAAGGCGACUUUCUGGCCUGUAACUGACGCUGAUGUGCGAAAGCGUGGGGAUCAAACAGGAUUAGAUA
rnacentral:rRNA from 1 species